UACGGAGGGGGCUAGCGUUGUUCGGAAUUACUGGGCGUAAAGGGCGCGUAGGCGGCCACCGCAAGUCGACUGUGAAAAUCUCCGGGCUUAACCCCGGAAAGGUCAGCCGAUACUGCGGGGCUAGAGUGCAGAAGGGGCAACUGGAAUUCUCGGUGUAGCGGUGAAAUGCGUAGAUAUCGAGAGGAACACCUGCGGCGAAGGCGGGUUGCUGGGCUGACACUGACGCUGAGGCGCGAAAGCUAGGGGAGCGAACGGG
rnacentral:rRNA from 1 species